rfam:Drosophila grimshawi strain TSC#15287-2541.00 scaffold_15245 genomic scaffold, whole genome shotgun sequence.
AAGCACCUGAUGAGACUUUCAUACUGAAACGUUGUUUUGGUCUAUUUUUGAACACUACGAUGUUAAUAAGGGAUGGUCGCAUUUGCGAGGCAUUUGUCUGAUGCGCUA